AUCCGCGCGUAUUCUUCAGUUUUUCACUGACCUCCAGUUCGGCCUUGGUGGUUUGAGGAACACGACCAAAACCCUAACCCUAAUCAUAACCGCAUCCGUCCAUGGCCUCCGAUGCACAUGGCUCCCGUCACAAGCACCGGCGCUCAUCUUCUCCCGAAGAAGUCGAGCGAUCCUCUAAACGUCACAAGCACCGCCACCAUGGCCACCGCCAUCAUCGGCACCGCCACGCUAGCAGGAAACACGAAGAGGAGCAUGAACUCGAUGCCGAAACUGUUAAUAAGGUUCCUUCCCCAACUCUUGGUCCUGAGUCUGACAGGCCUGAUGAUGAUGUGGAGGAGGGGGAGAUUCUUGAAGAGGAGGGUCCCGGUGGCCGAGAUGGUGAGAUUGGAAAAAAGCAUACGGAGUCCGAUGCUGAGUCUGGUGAAAUCAUGGCCACGGGAGGUCGAGGUAUUCGAUCCGAUAAUUCAAAUCCGGUACCUUCCACCGAAGAGAUGUUGCAUGGGAAGGACGCCAUUCCCUCUAAAGAGAAAGUAGUGACUACUGCUAAAGGUUUAGAAACUAAUAGUGAGGAUAUCAACAAUGGUAGAUUUAUUAGUCCACGAUUGGAUGGAGAAGAUGAUACUCGCCAUCAGGGACACACUGGUCACAGUAGAAAUGAAGUUGAUGGUUCUCCUACUCAUUCAAGUGCGGAGUCCGUAGAUGCUAAGCAUGCUAGAGCUAUUUCGGAUGGUUUGGGCAAUGGGUAUUUGGAUCGUAAAUCUUCCAAAGAGGAUAAAUGGCCGCAUGGGGAGCUUGGAUGUUUUAAAGGAAAUGAAAAGCUGAAAGGUGACUAUGACAACGAAGAUCUGGAGGUUAAUGGAGGCAAAUUAAGGAUUCAUAGGAAGAACUCCUCCCCUGAAAGUGGAGGUAGCAAAUAUAGGGCCAGGGAAAGCUCACCUAAUUAUAGGUGUAGGAGUCGAUCCAGAUCAAGUGGUCAUACUCAUAGUGUAAUAGAAGAAUAUGCUCAUUCCAGGAGGAGGAAUGACGAGGAAAGAAUUGGGGAAUAUGGCAGGGAGCGUGGACAUGUGAGUAGGGAUUUGGUGGCAGGUGAUAGAAGGGAGCACAGUUCCAGCUAUUACAGUCGGGAGGCCCGAGAUAGAGAUAGGAGCAAGGACAGGGAUGGGGAUAGGGACCUAAGAAGAGAAAAGGAACGGGAAAGGAGCCGGAAUAGGGAGGAUGAUCGUGUGCAUAGGAGGGGAAAAGAACGUGAAAGGAGUCAUGAGAAGGAUAGAAGGGAUGUGGAAAAAGAUAGGAGCUGGGGAAGAGAGGUGGACAGGGAUAGACGAAGAGAAAAGGAGCGAGAUAGAGAGAGGAGCUGGGAGAUUGUGGCUGAGCGGCAUAGAAGUGAUAGGGGACGAGAGAGGAGUAGGGACAGAGGAAGGGUUGGGGAGAGAGAUAGAGUUCGUGAGAGUGAAAGGGAUGAUAAACAUCGAGAAAGAGAUAAGAUUAGGGAGAGGGAGAGGCGUAAGGAUAGAAAUGUUCUUGAUAAAGAUAAAAAUCUGGGUUAUGAGCAUGGUAAUGAGAGCCGGGACGGAGAUAUGCGCCGUAAGCAUUUGAGACAUGAAGAAGCAGAAAGCCAUAGGGAGAAAAAAAGAAAUUCUGAGUCUGUGACAGUUGAUAAACCUGUGGACAGGGGUGAGGAUGAACAAGAUGACCUGGAUGAGACGGUUACGUUGCCAUUUGCAGAACAAGAAGAGGAAGACCUCAAUAGAAUUAAGGAGGAGAGUAGAAGGAGGAGGGAAGCAAUCUUAGAGAAAUAUAAAAAGCAGCAACCACAGCAGCAUCAACAUGAAGAACAAACUUCUGAAAAUAAAGAAAAAGAUAAGGAUCCUGUGAAUGUUCCGGCUACUGUUUCUGAAGCUCCUGAUGCUAAGAACGAUGGUGCUGAUGUUUUUGAAACGGAACCAUCUUUUGCUGUUGGUAAAUCUCCCCGAGAAAAUGGAAAUGAUGCAUCUGAAAAGAUCCCUGGUGUUGCUGGGGGCUUGGGAGAGGGUUCACCAAAGAGUGAAAGAUCCGAUGACCAGUUUUGUGAUGACAUAUUUGGUGAGACACCAACAGGAGUUCGCAAAUCAGGCAAAGGGGAUGGAUUGCGUGUUGACAGGGGUGGAUUGCAUGACAAUUGGGAUGAUGCAGAGGGGUAUUACAGUUAUCGUUUUGGUGAAAUACUUGAUGGUCGAUAUGAAGUCACAGCAGCUCAUGGUAAAGGUGUCUUUUCAACAGUUGUUCGUGCAAAGAAUCUAAAAGCUGGUAAUGGUGAGCCAGAAGAAGUAGCUAUAAAAAUUAUUCGUAAUAAUGACACCAUGUACAAGGCUGGUAUGGAUGAGUUGGUCAUACUAAAGAAAUUAGUAGGUUCAGAUCCAGAUGAUAAGCGUCAUUGUGUUCGUUUCCUUUCAAGUUUUAAGUACAGGAAUCACCUUUGUUUAGUUUUUGAAUCUCUUCAUAUGAAUCUGCGUGAGGUUUUAAAGAAGUUUGGUCGCAAUAUUGGCCUUAGGCUAACAGCUGUGAGAGCGUACGCGAAACAACUCUUUAUUGCAUUGAAGCAUCUUCGGAACUGUGGUGUUCUCCAUUGUGAUAUAAAGCCAGACAAUAUGUUGGUGAAUGAAGCAAAAAAUGUUUUGAAGCUUUGUGACUUUGGUAAUGCUAUGUUUGCUGGAAAGAAUGAAGUCACACCAUACCUUGUGAGUCGCUUUUAUCGUGCCCCUGAAAUAAUACUUGGCUUGUCAUAUGAUCAUCCGUUAGAUAUUUGGUCUGUUGGAUGUUGUUUGUACGAACUUUAUACUGGAAAAGUUCUUUUCCCAGGUGGUACUAACAAUGACAUGCUACGGCUUCACAUGGAAUUGAAGGGUGCUUUUCCGAAGAAGAUGCUUCGUAAGGGAGCAUUUAUUGAUCAGCAUUUUGACCAGGACUUGAAUUUUCUUGCUACAGAAGAGGAUCCAGUGACGAGAAAGGCUAUAAAGCGGUUGAUUCUCAACAUGAAGCCCAAAGACAUUGGAACUAUCAUUGCUGGCUCUCCUGGAGAGGAUCCGAAGAUGUUAGCUAAUUUCAAAGAUCUUCUGGACAAGGUUUUUGUCCUGGAUCCGGAGAAGAGGUUGACAGUCUCACAAGCAUUAAGCCAUCCAUUCAUCACUGGCAAGUGAACAAUGUUGCUGAUUUUGACUCCGAAAUGAUGUUUGCUGAUUUUUGUACAUAAUGACCCAAUUCAUAGUGAUUCUAAUCAUUUGAUAUUAUUUAUCUUCUAUGCCUCCUCCGAGGGGUGUCAGCAACACUAGUUGGCCCGUUGAAGUGAUAAGGGUGAUGUCUGAUCAGGAGUACACUUUACUGGCGGUUCUUUCAGUGGAAUCUUUCAGUGGAAUGUACUGUUUCUAUUGAGGCAUUGUGAGGCAACCCUCCAGUCCUUAGGUGCUUUAAAGGCACUCAGGAGAAGGCAUUUCCACUGGAGGUGUUUGGCCGUCUUCUUGAAGGGGAUUCGUAUCUGAGGGGGUAAUUAAAUCCAGAAACUUCUGUUCACUUAACCUUUUGGUACAGUAUCUUUGGUCCUGCUAUUUUUGUAAGUAUAUACAUGUCCAACUUAACUUUCUCUUUCUUUGCAUUUAUAUGACUGAUGAUCAAUGGCCUGAGGUUUCCAAUGGGUAGUCAUUCUCGGUUUUCAUUUGUGCAUUGAUAUUUCAUGACCUCCAUGGAUUCAAUGUAUUCCAAUGGGUAGUCAUUCUCAGAUUAUUCAACAGCUGUGUUCAUGAUGGUGAAAUUUGGGCUGUAUCGAACAUUCUUUCUUAAUCCUAUGUUCCUCUGAAUUAGAUGUAUUGCUAAUGAUCCCCUUCCUCAUAUCAUGGCUGUCUGGAUUCCCCUUUAAACAUUCCCUUUUGUAAGUCCGUUCCAUAUUACUCCUUCAGAUUGGAAUCUCCAUCCUCAAACGUGUCUAUUUUUUGCUGUCAAUCCUGAAUAGGUCUUCUCCACAACUUCAUAUGUGCCAGUGUUUCUACGUUUGUUUGCUGAUCCAUCAUUGAUGGUCUAGAAAGUGUUUUCUCUUAUAGCAGUUCAGUAAUAUUAUUGUGUAGUAGAUAUUGAUGCCAACUUUUUGCCAAGUAGCUAAGAAGUAAACAUAGUCUCUCUCUUAAGUUAACUAUUUGCCAACUCUUAUGCUAAUUGCCAUUUUUUCAAUCUGUUCUUUGAACAUAUGGUUGUGUCAGCUGGUUUCCUAAGAACUGGAUUCUUUGAUUAUUUUUCUUAAUGGUAGUAAUUUCGUUGCUCAAGGUCCUACCAAGGUAUUACGCAUGCUAUGACGUUGUACAUAUUGUAGUAGAAGCUCUACUUCUAGGCACGUUUCCUGUGGCAUGUCAAAUGCAGGGAGAGGGAAAAUCUACUGUUAUGUUUAGAAAAUAAUAAAAUUACAAGGAAUGCAUAACUGUAGUGGUUUUUUCCCAACUGAUAUGGGCUUAUGCGUCUGCUUGAGACCCAUUAAAGUUUGAAGAACCACCAAAAUAUCUGCGAAGCUUAUUUUAAAGUUUUGGUUUGGGAGACAUGGUUACUCUGGGGCAGCAACGUAUCGAAGAAAAAGAAAAAGAAAUCGGGUGCCUGAUUUGUAUAUUUUUGAUAUUCUUGAAAAUGCCUAGAGUUUAUAGAGGUCCUUGAUGUGCAUGAGGUUGAAGAUUGGUAUUUAAUUGUAAUUGAGAAUUAUAUUUUUAAUUUAAUAUAUGCUAAUAUGAAUGGCUUGUUAUGAACA